CCUACGGGUGGCUGCAGUAAGGAAUAUUGGUCAAUGGAGGCAACUCUGAACCAGCCAUGCCGCGUGCAGGAAGACGGCCUAUGGGUUGUAAACUGCUUUUAUCUGGGAAUAUGUACCAGAAGAAUAAGGAUCGGCUAACUCCGUGCCAGCAGCCGCGGUAAUACGGAGGAUCCAAGCGUUAUCGGGAUUUAUUGGGUUUAAAGGGUGCGUAGGCGGCCUGUUAAGUCAGAGGUGAAAGAUGGUAGCUCAACUAUCGCAGUGCCUUUGAUACUGACGGGCUUGAAUAAACUAGAGGUAGGCGGAAUGAGACAAGUAGCGGUGAAAUGCAUAGAUAUGUCUCAGAACACCGAUUGCGAAGGCAGCUUACUAUGGUUUAUUGACGCUGAGGCACGAAAGCGUGGGGAUCAAACAGGAUUAGAUACCCUGGUAGUC
rnacentral:rRNA from 1 species